AUUGAACGCUGGCGGCAUGCCUUACACAUGCAAGUCGAACGGCAGCGCGGGAGCAAUCCUGGCGGCGAGUGGCGAACGGGUGAGUAAUACAUCGGAACGUGCCCAAUCGUGGGGGAUAACGCAGCGAAAGCUGUGCUAAUACCGCAUACGAUCUACGGAUGAAAGCAGGGGACCGCAAGGCCUUGCGCGAAUGGAGCGGCCGAUGGCAGAUUAGGUAGUUGGUGAGGUAAAGGCUCACCAAGCCUUCGAUCUGUAGCUGGUCUGAGAGGACGACCAGCCACACUGGGACUGAGACACGGCCCAGACUCCUACGGGAGGCAGCAGUGGGGAAUUUUGGACAAUGGGCGCAAGCCUGAUCCAGCCAUGCCGCGUGCAGGAUGAAGGCCUUCGGGUUGUAAACUGCUUUUGUACGGAACGAAACGGCUCUUUCUAAUAAAGAGGGCUAAUGACGGUACCGUAAGAAUAAGCACCGGCUAACUACGUGCCAGCAGCCGCGGUAAUACGUAGGGUGCAAGCGUUAAUCGGAAUUACUGGGCGUAAAGCGUGCGCAGGCGGUGAUGUAAGACAGUUGUGAAAUCCCCGGGCUCAACCUGGGAACUGCAUCUGUGACUGCAUCGCUGGAGUGCGGCAGAGGGGGAUGG
rnacentral:rRNA from 1 species